rnacentral:rRNA from 1 species
GGUUAAGCGACUAAGCGUACACGGUGGAUGCCCUGGCAGUCAGAGGCGAUGAAGGGCGUGCUAAUCUGCGAUAAGCGCCGGUAAGGUGAUAUGAACCGUUAUAACCGGCGAUACCCGAAUGGGGAAACCCAGUGUGAUUCGUCACACUAUCAUUACGUGAAUACAUAGCGUAAUGAAGCGAACCGGGGGAACUGAAACAUCUAAGUACCCCGAGGAAAAGAAAUCAACCGAGAUUCCCCCAGUAGCGGCGAGCGAACGGGGAGGAGCCCAGAGCCUGAAUCAGCAUGUGUGUUAGUGGAAGCGUCUGGAAAGGCGCGCGAUACAGGGUGACAGCCCCGUACACAAAAGCGCAUGUGUUGUGAGCUCGAUGAGUAGGGCGGGACACGUGGUAUCCUGUCUGAAUAUGGGGGGACCAUCCUCCAAGGCUAAAUACUCCUGACUGACCGAUAGUGAACCAGUACCGUGAGGGAAAGGCGAAAAGAACCCCGGCGAGGGGAGUGAAAAAGAACCUGAAACCGUGUACGUACAAGCAGUGGGAGCACCCUUUGGGGUGUGACUGCGUACCUUUUGUAUAAUGGGUCAGCGACUUAUAUUCUGUAGCAAGGUUAACCGAAUAGGGGAGCCGGAGGGAAACCGAGUCUUAAUUGGGCGUUAAGUUGCAGGGUAUAGACCCGAAACCCGGUGAUCUAGCCAUGGGCAGGUUGAAGGUUGGGUAACACUAACUGGAGGACCGAACCGACUAAUGUUGAAAAAUUAGCGGAUGACCUGUGGCUGGGGGUGAAAGGCCAAUCAAACCGGGAGAUAGCUGGUUCUCCCCGAAAGCUAUUUAGGUAGCGCCUCGUGAAUUCAUCUCCGGGGGUAGAGCACUGUUUCGGCUAGGGGGCCAUCCCGGCUUACCAACCCGAUGCAAACUGCGAAUACCGGAGAAUGUUAUCACGGGAGACACACGGCGGGUGCUAACGUCCGUCGUGAAGAGGGAAACAACCCAGACCGCCAGCUAAGGUCCCAAAGUCAUGGUUAAGUGGGAAACGAUGUGGGAAGGCCCAGACAGCCAGGAUGUUGGCUUAGAAGCAGCCAUCAUUUAAAGAAAGCGUAAUAGCUCACUGGUCGAGUCGGCCUGCGCGGAAGAUGUAACGGGGCUAAACCAUGCACCGAAGCUGCGGCAGCGACACUGUGUGUUGUUGGGUAGGGGAGCGUUCUGUAAGCCUGUGAAGGUGUGUCGUGAGGCAUGCUGGAGGUAUCAGAAGUGCGAAUGCUGACAUAAGUAACGAUAAAGCGGGUGAAAAGCCCGCUCGCCGGAAGACCAAGGGUUCCUGUCCAACGUUAAUCGGGGCAGGGUGAGUCGACCCCUAAGGCGAGGCCGAAAGGCGUAGUCGAUGGGAAACGGGUUAAUAUUCCCGUACUUGGUGUUACUGCGAAGGGGGGACGGAGAAGGCUAUGUUGGCCGGGCGACGGUUGUCCCGGUUUAAGCGUGUAGGUGUGUGUUCCAGGUAAAUCCGGUUCACUUUAACACUGAGGCGUGACGACGAGGCACUACGGUGCUGAAGCAACAAAUGCCCUGCUUCCAGGAAAAGCCUCUAAGCAUCAGGUAACAUCAAAUCGUACCCCAAACCGACACAGGUGGUCAGGUAGAGAAUACCAAGGCGCUUGAGAGAACUCGGGUGAAGGAACUAGGCAAAAUGGUGCCGUAACUUCGGGAGAAGGCACGCUGACACGUAGGUGAAGUGAUUUACUCAUGGAGCUGAAGUCAGUCGAAGAUACCAGCUGGCUGCAACUGUUUAUUAAAAACACAGCACUGUGCAAACACGAAAGUGGACGUAUACGGUGUGACGCCUGCCCGGUGCCGGAAGGUUAAUUGAUGGGGUCAGCGCAAGCGAAGCUCCUGAUCGAAGCCCCGGUAAACGGCGGCCGUAACUAUAACGGUCCUAAGGUAGCGAAAUUCCUUGUCGGGUAAGUUCCGACCUGCACGAAUGGCGUAAUGAUGGCCAGGCUGUCUCCACCCGAGACUCAGUGAAAUUGAACUCGCUGUGAAGAUGCAGUGUACCCGCGGCAAGACGGAAAGACCCCGUGAACCUUUACUAUAGCUUGACACUGAACAUUGAGCCUUGAUGUGUAGGAUAGGUGGGAGGCUUUGAAGUGUGGACGCCAGUCUGCAUGGAGCCGACCUUGAAAUACCACCCUUUAAUGUUUGAUGUUCUAACGUGGACCCGUGAUCCGGGUUGCGGACAGUGUCUGGUGGGUAGUUUGACUGGGGCGGUCUCCUCCUAAAGAGUAACGGAGGAGCACGAAGGUUGGCUAAUCCUGGUCGGACAUCAGGAGGUUAGUGCAAUGGCAUAAGCCAGCUUGACUGCGAGCGUGACGGCGCGAGCAGGUGCGAAAGCAGGUCAUAGUGAUCCGGUGGUUCUGAAUGGAAGGGCCAUCGCUCAACGGAUAAAAGGUACUCCGGGGAUAACAGGCUGAUACCGCCCAAGAGUUCAUAUCGACGGCGGUGUUUGGCACCUCGAUGUCGGCUCAUCACAUCCUGGGGCUGAAGUAGGUCCCAAGGGUAUGGCUGUUCGCCAUUUAAAGUGGUACGCGAGCUGGGUUUAGAACGUCGUGAGACAGUUCGGUCCCUAUCUGCCGUGGGCGCUGGAGAACUGAGGGGGGCUGCUCCUAGUACGAGAGGACCGGAGUGGACGCAUCACUGGUGUUCGGGUUGUCAUGCCAAUGGCACUGCCCGGUAGCUAAAUGCGGAAGAGAUAAGUGCUGAAAGCAUCUAAGCACGAAACUUGCCCCGAGAUGAGUUCUCCCUGAGACUUAAAGUCUCCUGAAGGAACGUUGAAGACGACGACGUUGAUAGGCCGGGUGUGUAAGCGCAGCGAUGCGUUGAGCUAACCGGUACUAAUGAACCGUGAGGCUUAACCUU